AUUGAACGCUGGCGGCAGGCUUAACACAUGCAAGUCGAGCGGGGUGAUGGUGCUUGCACUAUCACUUAGCGGCGGACGGGUGAGUAAUGCUUAGGAAUCUGCCUAUUAGUGGGGGACAACAUCUCGAAAGGGAUGCUAAUACCGCAUACGUCCUACGGGAGAAAGCAGGGGAUCUUCGGACCUUGCGCUAAUAGAUGAGCCUAAGUCGGAUUAGCUAGUUGGUGGGGUAAAGGCCUACCAAGGCGACGAUCUGUAGCGGGUCUGAGAGGAUGAUCCGCCACACUGGGACUGAGACACGGCCCAGACUCCUACGGGAGGCAGCAGUGGGGAAUAUUGGACAAUGGGGGGAACCCUGAUCCAGCCAUGCCGCGUGUGUGAAGAAGGCCUUAUGGUUGUAAAGCACUUUAAGCGAGGAGGAGGCUCUUUUGGUUAAUACCCAAGAUGAGUGGACGUUACUCGCAGAAUAAGCACCGGCUAACUCUGUGCCAGCCGCCGCUGUAA
rnacentral:rRNA from 1 species